rnacentral:rRNA from 1 species
AUUGACAUUAGGUCAGGAAUAAGGGGCUGCUAAUCACGUGCCAGCAGCAGCGGUAAUACGUGAGCCCCAAGCGUUAUCCGGAAUUACUGGGCGUAAAGGGUGUGUAGGCGGUUUCAUUAGUCUUUCGUUAAAGACUCCGGCUUAACCGGAGGAGUGCGAAGGAAACGGUGAGACUUGAGGGUGCGAGAGGUCUAUGGAACUCAUGGUGUAGGGGUGAAAUCCGUUGAUAUCAUGGGGAACACCAAAAGCGAAGGCAAUAGACUGGCGCAUUCCUGACGCUGAGACACGAAAGCGUGGGUAGCGAAAGGGAUUAGAUACCCCUGUAGUCCACGCCCUAAACGAUGUUCUCUAGCUUUUUGGAGUAUCGACCCUCUGGGAGGCAAAGCUAACGCGUUAAGAGAACCGCCUGGGAAGUACGAGCGCAAGCUUAAAACUCAAAGGAAUAGACGGGGACUUGCACAAGCGGUGGAUCAGGUGGCUUAAUUCGACAAUAAACGAAGAACCUUACCAGGACUUGAAACCCUAAUGACGUAUUUGGGAGACCAGAUAUUUCUCACAAGGACAUUAGGGCAGGUGAUGCAUGGCCGUCGUCAGUUCGUGGCUUGAGCUGUUCCCUUCAGUGGGGAAACGAACGCAACCCCUAUCGUCUGUUAUACGUGUCAGGCGAGACCGCCGCGUAAGUUGGAGGAAGGUGGGGAUGACGCCAGGUCAGCAUGUCCCUUUGAUGUCUUGGGCUGCACACGUGAUACAAUGGAUGCUACAACGGGACGCGAUCGCGUAAGCGUAAGCUAAUCCUUAUAAAAGUAUCCUCAGUUCGGAUUGAGGUCUGCAACUCGACCUCAUGAAGUCGGAAUCGCUAGUAAUCGCGGGUCAGCUAUACCGCGGUGAAUACGUUCUCAAGCCUUGUACUCACCGCCCGUCAAGUCAAGGAAGUCGGGAGUGCUCAAAGUCCCAGCACUAUUUUUAGGAAAUUAAAAUUUCUUUUCGUAAAAAUGGUGCUGGGCCUACAGUAAACUCGAUAACA